CCAGGCCUUCGCUAUAGUUUCUUAUUAGCAGCAAGGAGCCCAGAAGGAGCACAGACUAGCUUAAGUCCAAUUCUGAAGGUAGAAACAAGGCCUUUGCACUCCCAGAAGUUAGAGGCUACAUAUGUUUCAUCUACAGAAGUACAUUUAAAAUGGAAGCCUCCACAGCAUUCAUACAGCAUUUAUUUUCAUUACUACCUGGUCAACAUAUUGGAUACUGAAACCAAUAUCUGGGAACAGUUGCCAGUUGAAAAAAGCAAGACUUCAAUAAUCAUACGAAAUGUAAAACCUUAUCAUCAGUAUCAGUUAUAUUUACAGAAUGUAGCAGAAAAAGGAACUCUAAGCUGCCACGAGAAGCCUAUAUUAAUCACAACAGCUGUCAGUCCACCUACAGCUGUUUGUAUUCACCCAGAGGAUGUAAAAGAAGAGAGUGUAAUCCUUCACUGGAAGCUGCCACAAGAGUGUCAGGAGUCCUACAUUCAAGUGAAACCUAAUGCAGGCAUAGGUGAAACUAAAAAGUUUUUAUUAAGCAA